ACCGGCGCACGGGUGAGUAACACGUAUCCAACCUGCCGUCUACUCUUGGACAGCCUUCUGAAGAAGAUUAAUACAAGAUGGCAUCAUGAGUCCGCAUGUUCACAUGAUUAAAGGUAUUCCGGUAGACGAUGGGGAUGCGUUCCAUUAGAUAGUAGGCGGGGUAACGGCCCACCUAGUCUUCGAUGGGUAGGGGUUCUGAGAGGAAGGUCCCCCACAUUGGAACUGAGACACGGUCCAAACUCCUACGGGAGGCAGCAUG
rnacentral:rRNA from 1 species